rfam:Felis catus isolate Cinnamon breed Abyssinian chromosome C1, whole genome shotgun sequence.
ACCUGGGUGGCUCAGUCAGUUAAGUGUCUGACUUCAGCUCAGGUCACGAUCUUGUGGUUCGUGGGUUCGAGCCCCACGUCAGGCU